rnacentral:rRNA from 1 species
GUGUCAGCAGCCGCGGUAAGACAGAGGUGCCAAGCGUUAGGCGGAAUCACUGGGCUUAAAGCGUGUGUAGGCGGAUGCCUAAGUACCUUGUGAAAUCCCACGGCUCAACCGUGGAACGGCUGGGUAUACUGGGCGUCUUGAGCCAGCUAGGGGCUGCCGGAACAAAUGGUGGAGCGGUGAAAUGCGUAGAUAUCAUUUGGAACGCCAAUGGUGAAAACAGGCAGCUGGGGCUGUGCUGACGCUGAGACACGAAAGCCAGGGGAGCGAACGGGAUUAGAUACCCCGGUAGUCC